rnacentral:rRNA from 1 species
GACGUAGGAGGCGAGCGUUAUCCGGAUUCACUGGGCGUAAAGCGCAUGUAGGCGGUUCGCUAAGUCCGCUGUUAAAGCCCCCGGCUCAACUGGGGGAGGUCAGUGGAGACUAUAGGACUUGAGGGCAACAGAGGCACGUGGAACUCCCGGUGUAGCGGUGGAAUGCGUAGAGAUCGGGAAGAACACCAGUGGCGAAGGCGACGUGCUGGGUUGCGACUGACGCUGAGGAGCGAAAGCGUGGGGAGCGAACAGG